rnacentral:lncRNA from 10 species
GUAGGCGGGGCGAAUUGGCAGGAAGCGGGGGCGGGGCCCGGGAAGGGAGGGGAGGGGCGGGGCGAGGUCGGGCUGGUGGCGUUCAGGGUUAGGUCUGCCGAGGUCCCGCGGCAGGAGAGCCCGGGGACUGCAUGCGUCUGCGCAGCUGCGAGGUUAAGCCGCCCUUUGGCGGUCCCCAGGACGGUUCCUGGUGCCAGACGGUCCCAGGCCUGGGCAAGGUGGCUUAUGCCUGUAAUCCCAGCACUUUAGGAGACCGAGGCAGGUGGAUCACUUGAGGCCAGGAGUUUGAGACCAGCCUGGCCGUGGUGAAACCCCGAAUCUACUAAAAAUAUAAAAAUUGGCCGAGCAUGGCGGCUCAUGCCUGUAAUCCCAGCUACUUGGGAGGAUGAGGCAGAAGAAUGGCUUGAACCUGGGAGGUGGAGGUUGCAGUGAGCCGAGAUCUCACCACUGCACUCCAGCCUGGGCGACAGAGUGAGACUGUCUCAAAAAAAAAUUUUUGUUAUUAUAAUAAACUGUAUUUUGUGCAAGCCAU